rnacentral:rRNA from 1 species
AUGACGGAGAGUUCGAUCCUGGCUCAGAACGAACGCUGGCGGCGCGUCUUAAGCAUGCAAGUCGAACGAAUGGCACUUCGGUGCCGGAAGUGGCGGACGGGUG